GACGAACGCUGGCGGCGUGCUUAACACAUGCAAGUCGAACGGAAAGGCCCUUCGGGGUACUCGAGUGGCGAACGGGUGAGUAACACGUGGGUGAUCUGCCCUGCACUUCGGGAUAAGCCUGGGAAACUGGGUCUAAUACCGGAUACACCUCAUGGACUGCAUGGUCUGUGGGGGAAAGCUUUUGCGGUGUGGGAUGGGCCCGCGGCCUAUCAGCUUGUUGGUGGGGUGAUGGCCUACCAAGGCGACGACGGGUAGCCGGCCUGAGAGGGCGACCGGCCACACUGGGACUGAGACACGGCCCAGACUCCUACGGGAGGCAGCAGUGGGGAAUAUUGCACAAUGGGCGAAAGCCUGAUGCAGCGACGCCGCGUGAGGGAUGACGGCCUUCGGGUUGUAAACCUCUUUCAGCAGGGACGAAGCGAAAGUGACGGUACCUGCAGAAGAAGCACCGGCCAACUACGUGCCAGCCGCCGCGUAAAC
rnacentral:rRNA from 1 species